CUGGCGGCACGCCUAACACAUGCAAGUCGAACGCAGUAGCAAUACUGAGUGGCAAACGGGUGAGUAAUAUGUGGGAAUCUGCCUUUUGGUUCGGAAUAACACGGGGAAACUUGUGCUAAUACCGAAUAAGCCCUUACGGGGAAAGUUUUAAUGCCGAAAGAUGAGCCCGCACUUGAUUAGCUAGUUGGUAAGGUAAAAGCUUACCAAGGCAACGAUCAAUAGCUGUUCUUAGAGGAAGACCAGCCACAUUGGGACUGAGACACGGCCCAGACUCCUACGGGAGGCAGCAGUGGGGAAUCUUGCACAAUGGGGGAAACCCUGAUGCAGCGAUGCCGCGUGAGUGAAGAAGGCCUUUGGGUUGUAAAACUCUUUCGUCGGGGAAGAAAAUGACUGUACCCGAAUAAGAAGGUC
rnacentral:rRNA from 1 species